rnacentral:rRNA from 1 species
AUUGAACGCUGGCGACAGGCCUAACACAUGCAAGUCGAACGGUAACAGGAAGAAGCUUGCUUCUUUGCUGACGAGUGGCGGUCGGGUGAGUAAUGUCUGGGAAACUGCCUGAUGGAGGGGGAUAACUACUGGAAACGGUAGCUAAUACCGCAUAACGUCGCAAGACCAAAGAGGGGGACCUUCGGGCCUCUUGCCAUCGGAUGUGCCCAGAUGGGAUUAGCUAGUAGGUGGGGUAACGGCUCACCUAGGCGACGAUCCCUAGCUGGUCUGAGAGGAUGACCAGCCACACUGGAACUGAGACACGGUCCAGACUCCUACGGGAGGCAGCAGUGGGGAAUAUUGCACAAUGGGCGCAAGCCUGAUGCAGCCAUGCCGCGUGUAUGAAGAAGGCCUUCGGGUUGUAAAGUACUUUCAGCGGGGAGGAAGGGAGUAAAGUUAAUACCUUUGCUCAUUGACGUUACCCGCAGAAGAAGCACCGGCUAACUCCGUG